GGUUUAUGCCGCGCCGAUCUACAACUGGACCGGCAUCUACGUCGGUGCGCACAUCGGCGCCGCUUUCGGUGGCGACAAUAGCUUCACCACCAACGACCCGACCCUCGCCGGCAGCAAACGCGACGCAGCCUUCCUCGGCGGCGGUCAGAUCGGCGCUGACUAUCAGUUCGCUCCGAACNNNNNNNNNUCGAAGGCCAGAUCAGCGCUCUGUCGAACAGCGACCGCACCUUCACCAGCGGCGUGAACUCGUUCCGCGACCGUUCCGACUGGCUCGCUUCGGUCACCGG
rnacentral:misc_RNA from 1 species